UACGAAGGGUGCAAGCGUUACUCGGAAUUACUGGGCGUAAAGCGUGCGUAGGUGGUUUGUUAAGUCUGAUGUGAAAGCCCUGGGCUCAACCUGGGAACUGCAUUGGAUACUGGCUUACUAGAGUGCGGUAGAGGGUGGCGGAAUUCCCGGUGUAGCAGUGAAAUGCGUAGAUAUCGGGAGGAACAUCCGUGGCGAAGGCGGCCACCUGGACCAGCACUGACACUGAGGCACGAAAGCGUGGGGAGCGAACAGG
rnacentral:rRNA from 1 species